rnacentral:lncRNA from 1 species
UGGGUUACUAAUCUGGCAAACAAUCCAAACACUCAGACUGAAUUUAUCACAUCGUUAUCAUUUUUUUUCUUUUUUUUUCUUUUUCAGGCUACAAACAACGUCAAAAUAACCAUUCCGGGUAAUAAGACAGCUCCAUCAUAUCAACUUGCUGCAUAAUUCUCUUCUGUCAGACUGGCUUCCUAGGCUCGGAUUUUCCUUGCCUGCCUCUCCGCCAGAUUAAAAGACCCUUGCAAGCUACACAAGUGAAGUCUACAGGCAGUGAAAUCCCAUGACCUCUAGGAUUGUGUUUACUGGAGAGAACGGAGGGAAAUAUGCAGAACAGAGUGGUGAUGGGACCAUGGUUUUACGCAGCCACGUAUCUCUACGUGGAAGGAGUUAGGAGGAGGUGGGUCCUUUGUGUUUGCUCUCAGACCUUGGGAAAGAAGCCUGGGAGCUUCACAUCCCUCCAUGUGAGGGGGAGAUGGGAAACACUCAGUGCAGACCACUCUGUCUUAGGGCUUUCCCAUCUCACUGAUUUUAUUUGUGUUUUGGGAUAACUCAAGAAUUGCCAUGGCGUGCUUACAGAACCCCAGUUGUGCUGGGAAGCUCAGGCAGGCUCAGGGCAGGCAGUUUGCUUUGGCAGGUGCGGUGUGAGUGCAUGGAGUGAGGGCUGACCACCGCCUUCGCUCUGCGCUGACGGGUUGGCCAUUUUCCUUGGGUGGUGGCCAGCCCUUCCUGCUAGAUUCAUGUUACAGAACUGCAUUUGCACUCUUCUCCAUCAUCCCAGGCAUCCAGAUGUACGACAGACGCACACACAUGCACUGCACUGCGGAUGCUGUGUUUUGGCUGCAGCUGAGAUAAAUCACAGUUCAAAGGAGCUCACGCAGCAGCAGCUGGGAUAUCCGAGCCAGCAGCAGAAGGCAAUAUGUGCUUCCAACCCACCCCUCGCUCCUCUAAAAACCCACAGACAGGAGUGGAAAGACCACCACCAGUGGGUCUCAGCCCUGGGUGUGCAGAAGCUGAUAGUGCCCCCAUUGAAUGGAAUGACUGAAAUCCUUGUAAGCUUCAAGGUACUUAUGACAUCUGGGGAAUUCAUGCUCAACCCAUUGUUAUUUUUGGAGGGUUUCCAAUACAUCGGCCCAAUGGCCUGCAGAAGAAAAACUAUCUUAAGCGAGAGCUAAUUAUUGCCAUUACCCGUUCUGGCUGAAGGGAAAGGUUUACUGUGAAUUCUACUUGGCCGUGGAUUUUUGGUUAGGAAGUAAUAGCACAACUGCUAAACUCACACGUGAAGACUUGGGUGAAGCGCUACUGCACACAGCCGGCACCAACCCUGGGUUAAGGACUGUCUUCACAGCUGCAGGUCUAUGAGUAGGAUAAGAGGUCAACUCGGCACUGAUUUAAGAGCAUAGCAUUGGUGUUGCUGCUAUGUCUGAGAGUGCAGUAAACACCAAGCAGAGGAAAACAAGAGCUACUUGAACGCUUUCCAAGGAAGUGAUUUAUUUUUUCUCCUGUGGUAAACUCCCCUUUGUCAAAAUGAAAUCAUUCCAGGAGAGAAAUUAGCUUAUAAAGAUUUUGGUCAAGCCUUGCAUUUGUUUGUUUCCAAAUGUCUUUUUAAUGAAGUCGUAGAACCAUAUCAGAUUUUGUAAAAGUCAGAAUGAGAACAAGAUGUAUCCAUUUUGCCUUUAAAAACAGGGAUGGAAGCAAAGGAAUAGUUUAUAUCAUUCAUUUCUCUGCCCCUGUGUGGGAUCAAAUAUUUUUUGGAUAUGCAUAAAAAGCCAAUAAAUGUUAGCAUUCCUUCCA